UUGCUGGGUGUGGAUGAGUGGCGAACGGGUGAGUAACACGUGAGUAACCUGCCCCUGACUUCGGGAUAAGCCUGGGAAACUGGGUCUAAUACCGGAUAUGACUACUGGCCGCAUGGUCUGGUGGUGGAAAGGGUUUUACUGGUUGGGGAUGGACUCGCGGCCUAUCAGUUUGUUGGUGGGGUAGUGGCCUACCAAGACGACGACGGGUAGCCGGCCUGAGAGGGCGACCGGCCACACUGGGACUGAGACACGGCCCAGACUCCUACGGGAGGCAGCAGUGGGGAAUAUUGCACAAUGGGGGGAACCCUGAUGCAGCGACGCCGCGUGCGGGAUGACGGCCUUCGGGUUGUAAACCGCUUUCAGUAGGGAAGAAGCGAAAGUGACGGUACCUGCAGAAGAAGUACCGGCUAACUACGUGCCAGCAGCCGCGGUAAUACGUAGGGUACAAGCGUUGUCCGGAAUUAUUGGGCGUAAAGAGCUCGUAGGUGGUUGGUCACGUCUGCUGUGGAAACGCAACGCUUAACGUUGCGCGUGCAGUGGGUACGGGCUG
rnacentral:rRNA from 1 species